rnacentral:lncRNA from 1 species
CUAGCUGUAUGAGUUAUAAUUUCAUAAAGCUAGAGAACCGAAAGUAUAAACUAAUUCCAAGGACUCCAGAAGCCGGGCCUGCGGCGAGGUGGCUAUGGUCUGGGCAGGGAGAAGGUGGAUGCUGCACAUGCCUGUGCCAGUUCAGAACACCCAAAAUGCCGACGUGGGGAUUCAAGUAGAUUCCUGCCUGCUGAGAAACGGAAGAAGAAAAAGUGAUUGUACAUACUGUCAGAAAACAAGAUGGCGUCUCAUGUUACCUUGAGGUCUCAGAUACCAGGGACUGGGAGGAGGAGGGCCCAGGUCAAGCCUACAAGGAACAACCACCAAUUUACAGGUGCAAAUACUUAACAAGUUGGCCCUAAGAGUACGGCAGUAGUUAAAACGAGUAGUUAAAACGUUGGUCCUCAAACCGUAUAUAAUUCAAUUGAGAAGUCUGAGACGUAUGCAUAUGAUGCUCUUGCUUGUAUAUUAGGUACCG